UUUUUUUAAUUUUUUAAAGUUUAUUUAUUUAUUUUGAGAGAAAGAGAAUGAGUGAGGGAGGGGCAGAGACAGAGGGAGAGAGAGGAUUCCAAGUGGGCUCCUCCAUGCUGAGCACAGAGCCUGACUCAGGGCACAUUCUCACAAUUGUGAGGUCAUGACCUGAGCCAAUACCAUCUGCCCAACCAACUGAGCCACCCAGGGGCCCCCAGAAGUUCUGUUUAUAACUUCUGUGUGUUCUAGCAAUACCCAAACACUUGGCGUGUCUGCCAGCACCUUGCUUGUUCAUACCUCUGUGCCUUUGCAAAUGCUAUUCCCUCAAUCCAAGCAUUCCAGCUGCUUAGUUUCCCUCAGAGAAGACCUUGUGAACUUUGGGGGAAUAAGUGAACAGGUGACCAUAUAAUCAAGGACUGACUGUACCGGGAUCACUUCCUGUCUUCCUUGAUUCUCCCUUGAAUCCUUGUCUUACGCCCUUUCACUAAGUUAUUCAAGGAAGAUUGUCAAGUGCCACAAGGUCACCCGGAAACGCACUCUGCAGUCCAGAGGGCACAGAGAUGGGCACAGCGCACGCAGUCCCUGAAGAGCCCACCUGCUCUCACCGCACCUUCCAGCAACGGGAACACCCCUAACUUAAUGCUAAAAGCCCACCUGCAAUCAGAGAUGACCUGUGGAUAUACAGGUCUAUGGCAGUCCAGAUCGAAUCCUUUCUUUUUCACAAGUAGUAAAUCGUAAGGAAAACCUCUUUUCACAGUGGUAAAUGCUUGUCUGCCUCUCUUUUUGCUUCAUCCCAGCAGCUUAGUGACACUCAACUUAUUUCUUUGUCCUUAGAUUGAAAAAAAAAAUUUUUUUUUUGAUCUUGCAACUCAAAUGGUAGUUAGAUGCCUCGUAAAUAUUUCCCCUGCAUCUAGUGUCUCUGCCACGCCAGGUCCUUCCACAUAACAUGGUAGAUUUCAUCUUUUUUAAAUGCCACCUAAAAACUAUCAUCAGAGGCUAUCCAUAUACCCAGAAGCAGCUCCAAGUGCCAUGGCUAGAAGUCAAAGGCGUCUAAGGCCUGGC
rnacentral:lncRNA from 1 species